rnacentral:misc_RNA from 1 species
AAUUUUGUUUCCAAUUUUUUCAUAAAAAAAUAAAAAUACUAUCAAACAACAAAUAAGAUAAGGGUACAUUCAUUUCAAAUAUAGCGAUGAGACAAAAAUAUAAAUCUCAAAUCUAUAUCCAAUUUAUCAAUGCUUCGUACGAACUUGGUCAUCAUCCUUUAAAAAUGCUUCCACAAUAAUACCAUAAAAAAAGGGCCUCUCUUGUAAAUAAAGCCACUGGUUAUUUGAAAAUCUAAUGGCUAUAGAAAGAAAACACGCAUCCCAAAUCACACCAUAUCCAUGCCAAAGAUGGGCUUUCCAACCAUAUACAAGCAUUUGGCUCAACUUAGAUACCCAUGUCUUUAUAUCCCAUCCCACCACACAGCAAUGCUAUAUUUCAAAAGUCCUCCAUGGCUGAAUCAUCUUGGAUAACCUCUAACACUUAGGUGCCAACCCCAAAUUUACAAGCAUGCCAUUAUCUAUGGUUCUGUUAUUAAUUGUGCUGCUGUUUUCCCAACAGUCAACAUCCUAGUUUACUAAUUCUGUGUUUGUACACACUGUAAGACCACUGCAAUAUUUAUUUCCUUCAAAAAUUUCUACAUGUGACCACAAAUACAUUCGGUAGAUGCACUUACAUGUUGAUGCAUUAACUGGUGUUGUGGGGUUGAGCAUAUGACAUGCAUGCCACAGAUUUUGCAACAAACAUCAUUUUUCCCCCUCCCAAUUUGGUUACCUUUUACUAUGUAAUAUAAACUGUUAAAUCAUGAAUUUGAUUUAUAAUUUUGCAUGCAAUCAAACAGAUACUUUUUAAAAAAAAUAAGCUGAAGACCAAAAAAGCUUCAUUUAGACUGUCAAAGUCUGUGAUGCUAGUUCAGUCUACCUUUUAUCAUAUACUCUGCAUCUUACUGUGCAUUUAACAAUAAAAAUAACAAAAAUAUUAAUAAUGCACUUUUCUCUGCAAAAGCAGCAUUCAAAAAGUAGCCAAACUAGAUUAUGAUCAUAACAAUGAUAGAAAUGAUACCUCAAGGAUAGUGUAAAUCGG